GAUGAACGCUGGCGGCGUGCUUAACACAUGCAAGUCGAACGGAAAGGCUCCUGCUUGCCGGGGUACCCGAGUGGCGAACGGGUGAGUAACACGUGGGUGAUCUGCCCUGCACUUCGGGAUAAGCCUGGGAAACUGGGUCUAAUACCGGAUAGGACCACAUUUUGGAUGGUGUGGUGGAAAGUUUUUCGGUGUGGGAUGAGCUCGCGGCCUAUCAGCUUGUUGGUGGGGUAAUGGCCUACCAAGGCGUCGACGGGUAGCCGGCCUGAGAGGGUGUACGGCCACAUUGGGACUGAGAUACGGCCCAGACUCCUACGGGAGGCAGCAGUGGGGAAUAUUGCACAAUGGGCGCAAGCCUGAUGCAGCGACGCCGCGUGGGGGAUGACGGCCUUCGGGUUGUAAACUCCUUUCGCUAGGGACGAAGCGCAAGUGACGGUACCUGGAGAAGAAGCACCGGCUAACUACGUG
rnacentral:rRNA from 1 species